AUCACAAUGUUAAGAUUAUAUAGUCUUUAGAAACGUAAGAAUUGGAGGUAAAGAAGGAUGGACUUGGAAAGUCUGGAGCCAGCUUACUCCCUGCAGGCUUAAGAUGAACCAUCUCACAUAG